rnacentral:rRNA from 1 species
AUGAGUUGCGGCUGUGGCGGCGGCGUGGCGGCGGGGGACGGCGGGCUGGCCGAGUGGCAGCGCAUCUACGACCGGGUCGAGGCGCUCGCCGCCGGCCGCGCGCGGCUGGAGGCGCGCAACAGGACCCAGCACGAGUUCUGGGACGCCCGCGACAAGAUCAACCAGUCCCGCCUCCACCAGGCGGAGCUGAGCAGAAGCAGGUGGGAGGCGGCCUGCAGGGAGCUGCUCCCUUCCGAUGAUCCCAAGCUCGCCGAACUGCUAGAGAGUGAUUUGGAGGAUUCAAGAACUUGUGAAGCUCUCUUGGACACCGAAAACUCAGAACUGCUGGCACAACUGAAGGAAGAUGGAAAUUGUGUAGAGCUUAAUGAAAACACUGCAGAUCAUGAGCACACUUCUGGAGAUUUAAUAUCAGAGCUAAGAAAGUUAAAGCGAACCUAUGAGACCAUAUGCUGGAACAAGGAUAAGGAAGCCACUGAAGCCGUGCAAAAGCUUCAACAGAAGAUAGAGGAGCUGCAAGUGGCAGCCUGUAAGAAGGAUGAUGAGAUUGGAAUAUUGCAAGCAGAAGCUUCUGCUUGUAUAAAUAAGUUAGUGGUUCUAAAGGGUAAACUAGAUGAAAUGCGAUCUUUGGAUAAGGACAUUGACAUCCAAAAGCUCAAAGUUGGGCAACAUGAGACUCUUGAACGCAAGAUUGCCUCCUUACCAAAUAUACAAUCCAAGGAAGCUGGAAAUGUUGUAGGUAUUAUUCAAAAGAAUGCGGAUCAUGGGGCCAUCACAGGAGAAUUAAGAGCGGAGCUCAGAAAACUGAAGCAAGCUUAUGAGACCCUGAGCUCAAACAAGGAUAAGGAAAUUUCUAAAUUACUUGAAAUGAAGGAUUUUCUUUUGAACCAACUGAUGAGAAUGGACAAGGACAAUGCAGAGCUCCUUCAGAAAAAGGAAGUGGAGGCAGCACAAGCUAACGAAGCAGCACAAAAGCUUCAGCAGAAUGUAGAGGAGCUGGAAGUGUCAGUCCGAUAUAAGGAUGAUGAGAUUGGCAGAUUGCGAGCAGAAGCGGGGCCCCUAAAGAUAAAGGAAGUGGAGGCAGCACAAGCUAAUGAAGCAGCACAAAAGCUUCAGCAGAAUGUAGAGGAGCUGCAAGGUAUAGUCCGAUAUAAGGAUGAUGAGAUUGGCAGAUUGCGAGCAGAAGCGGGGCCCCUGAAGAUAAAGGAAGUGGAGGCAGAAGCGAAGAAAGCAGUGCAAACGCUUCAGCAGAAUGUAGAGGAGCUGCAAGUGGCAGUCCGAAAUAAAGAUGACGAGAUUGGCAAAUUGCGAGCAGAAGUGGGGCACCUUAAGAUAAAACAAGUGGAAGCAGCACAAAAGCUUCAGCAGAAUGUAGAUGUGCUGCAAAUAGAAGUACGAAAUAAGAAUGACGAGAAUUGUAGAUUGCCAGCAGAAGCUGCUAAUGCAGAAAAAAAGGUACCGGCUCUUGAGGUAACACAUAGCACUGAACCAAAAACAGCCGAGGCCUCUGCAUCAACAAAAGCCUUGGCUGUUGUGGUGGCUGCUUCAGCAUCUCCACCCGGCGCAAGCUCCAAGCCAGGGGCGGGGAUCAACAUCGACCUGACCCCUCCCCGGCUUGUCGACGACAGGGAGGCCAGCCCGCCCUUCCCUCCGGGUUUCGGGCCACCGGCCCGAUUCAAGGACACAACUACCACCGCUCCGACAGCAACCUUUGCGGUGGUGGUUGCGAAGGGGGACGGAAACCCUGACCAGAGCAUCGCUGGUACUACUGAUGCUGCGGGUGGGCUCGACAUUGACAAUGCCCCCCUGCCUCCUGCGUCAACAACAACCAAGACCAAGAGCAGCAUGCUGAAGGGCAAGCCAAGACCAAAGGUGCAGAGCAACGCGGAUAAGGAAGGUGCAGAGCUGGAUUCGAUCCUAGGGAAGAGGAUGGAGCGCAACAGGCCAGAGUCUAAUGUAGGUCUAGGGGAAAAUAAGGAGAUGAACAGAGACAUGUAUAAGAAAAUGAGAGGGUCUGUUAGUGGAGAGGCUGAGAGCAACAUAGGUGUGUUAGGCCGUAAGGAAGCUACCGGUAUAGGGGCUACCGGGAACUGA